ensembl:lncRNA
GCGCUCCCGGCACUCUCGGCGGUCCCGGCAACUAGCUGCCGCCGCGCGGUGGUUCCCGCGGAUCGGCGCGCGGUGCCGGCCUGGGCGCGCUCCCAGACCGCGGGGAGAACCGCAGGAGCCCGCGGGACGCAAUGCGAGCCAGCGUCUUCCUUCUCUGGACAGAAGGCUGCGUCCUGGGGCUGGUGCUCUGACGUCAGGGAGCUGGGGCCGGUGGCAGGCGUGGCAUGGGGACCGCUGAGACAUUUUUGACAUACUUGAGGCCAUGGAGAUAAAAGGAUAACUGCUCUACAAUAUUGUGAUGGUUUCUGCCAUACAGCAACAUGCGUCAGCCAUGGGACAGAAAUCUGCACUAGACAGAGGUGAAGAAGGCUGGGAACACGAGACGUCUCGGUUGGAGAGGCAGCCCACUAUGCACUGUGAGAUGGGAGCAACCCACAAACCCUUGGUUGGUGAAAGGACUACUUACUGAGUGAUGCUAUCUGCCAAGGAGGCUGAAGGUGCUUGCUGACACCGAGCUCUUGGCCUGGCUGGAGAUGCAAGCAGUUAAAAGAGCUAUCUCGUGAAGUGAUCAGUCCUAUAGUAGGGGAGCGUGGGGCGCAGGGGCUGGUGACCACAGACGUGGUGUUGACUCAGAAUGCAGCCUGCUGGCUUAUGGACUUUGGACACCCCUCGGACUUCUGG